GUGCCUGUAGUCUAGUGGCUAAGAUACAUGACUUGGACCCCUGAGGUUGGUGGUUCAAGCCCAGGCCUAGAACA